UCUUCCUACGGGACGCAGCAGUAGGGAAUCUUCCACAAUGGGCGAAAGCCUGAUGGAGCAACGCCGCGUGGGUGAAGAAGGUCUCCGGAUCGUAAAACCCUGUUGUUAGAGAAGAAAGUGCGUGAGAGUAACUGUUCACAUUUCGACGGUAUCUAACCAGGAAGCCACGGCUAACUACGUGCCAGCAGCCGCGGUAAUACGUAGGUGGCAAGCGUUAUCCGGAUUUAUUGGGCGUAAAGGGAACGCAGGCGGUCUUUUAAGCCUGAUGUGAAAGCCUUCGGCUUAACCGGAGUAGUGCAUUGGAA
rnacentral:rRNA from 1 species